rnacentral:rRNA from 1 species
UACCUACGGGAGGCAGCAGUGAGGAAUAUUGGUCAAUGGGCGGAAGCCUGAACCAGCAAUGCCGCGUGAGUGAGGAAGGUCUUCGGAUCGUAAAGCUCUGUUGCAGGUCAGAAAAGAAGGGAAGAGGAAAUGCUUUUCUUUUGAUAGUAACCUGCCAGAAAGUCACGGCUAACUACGUGCCAGCAGCCGCGGUAAUACGUAGGUGGCAAGCGUUAUCCGGAAUGAUUGGGCGUAAAGGGUGCGCAGGCGGCGUGGCAAGUCUGAAGUGAAAGGUACGGGCUCAACCUGUACAGGCUUUGGAAACU